rnacentral:rRNA from 1 species
UACGGAGGGGGCUAGCGUUGUUCGGAAUUACUGGGCGUAAAGCGCACGUAGGCGGAUCAGUCAGUUAGGGGUGAAAUCCCAGGGCUCAACCCUGGAACUGCCUUUAAUACUGCUGGUCUGGAGUCCGAGAGAGGUGAGUGGAAAUUCCGAGUGUAGAGGUGAAAUUCGUAGAUAUUCGGAGGAACACCAGUGGCGGAAGGCGGCU